rnacentral:rRNA from 1 species
AGAUUGAACGCUGGCGGCAUGCCUAACACAUGCAAGUCGAACGGGAGUAGCAAUACUCUAGUGGCGGACGGGUGAGGAAUACGUAGGAAUUUGCCCUUAAGUGGGGGAUAACCCGGGGAAACCCGGAUUAAUACCGCAUGACCUCGAAAGAGCAAAGUGGGGGAUCGCAAGACCUCACGCUUUUGGAGAAGCCUACGUCGGAUUAGCUAGUUGGUGAGGUAAUGGCUCACCAAGGCGACGAUCCGUAACUGGUCUGAGAGGAUGAUCAGUCACACCGGAACUGAGACACGGUCCGGACUCCACGGGAGGCAGCAGUGGGGAAUA